CGAAGGAGAUCAAAUUUUAACGGUUAGAUUUUCCAGAAAUAAUUUCGGAAGUGGCUGUCGGUUUCUACAGUAGCAGCGUCGAUUUUCUAUACGAUCGGGGGUUCAAACGUAGUCCGAUCGUUCUGAAAUUUUAAAGGAAGGAAGUUGGGGUUUCCUGAAGAUAGAAUACUAGCUUUGCGAAGAAGCUUUAGCUCAUUUUUGUAACAUCAUAAAUUAGAUAUAAUUAAUACAUUUCUCAUUUGAAGAGAAAUGACUAUAUUCUGUAAAUAGACAUUUAAUAUCCCUCUGCUUUAUAAAUGUACAUGGACAAUUAUUUUAUCGUUUCA